rnacentral:lncRNA from 1 species
UUCAACUUGCGCAAGUAAUCCAUAUUAGAAAGGUAAGUUAUUAAAAAUAAACAACCUAAUUAGUAGGGGUGGGCAUUUUUCCCGAUAUCCAUAGUGGCACCCGAACCCGAUCCGAAAAAUCCGAACUGAAAUCCGAACCGAAGUAGCAAAAUACCCGAACGGGUAUUGAAUAAGGAGAGAUUGGAUACCCGAACCCGAACGGAUAAUACCAGAACCCGAAUGUAUAUCUGAAGUUAACCGAACAUAUGUAUAAUUAACCUUAUAUUUUUAGUUUACAUCUCUCAUUUUAUAUAAAAUAUUUAUAUUGAUACUACACAUACUUUAAGUUCAUAUGAUAUACAUACAAUUACGAAAAAAAUGAUUUGCUACUCACUUAAAAUGCAUGUCAAGUUUUUUAUUUAACAAAAUUAACAAAAAGUUACAUCCAAAAUUUUUAAAAAAUAACUAAAUUAAUGCCUUUUUAGUUUUAAAAUGUUAUGUCCAAAUCUAUUAACUAUUCAAUCUAUUAAAAAUAAAAAAUUAGUUAACUGAAAAUUAUAUUUUAAAAUAUAAGAAACUUGAGAAAUGAAAAUUUUAAUUUUUUUUUCAAAAUCUAAAUAUCCGAACCAGAUCCGAAAUAACCGAAUCCGAACUAAAAAUACCCGAACUCGACCCGAAGUACAGAAAUACCCGAACGGGUUCUACACCUUUAUACCGAAAUACCCUAAAAUCCGAAAUACCCGACCCGAACCCGAACGGGUAUCCAAGGCUAAACUAAAUCGAUAAUUAUUAUCUCCUAGCUAUAUAUGGGCUUAACGAAAUCGACAAUAAUUUUGGGCUUGUCGACAUAAGUGAUUGAUUAAAAUAAAUAAAAAAGAAAAAUUCAAAAAGAUCAGCCAAUAGAAUUAUAACGUUUUUCCGGAGAAGCUUUAUAUGAAUGCCAC